rnacentral:rRNA from 1 species
UACAGAGGGGGCAAGCGUUGUUCGGAAUUACUGGGCGUAAAGGGCGCGUAGGCGGCCCGCUAAGUCGAACGUGAAAUCCCCGAGCUCAACUCGGGAACUGCGUCCGAUACUGGUGGGCUUGAAUCCGGGAGAGGGAUGCGGAAUUCCAGGUGUAGCGGUGAAAUGCGUAGAUAUCUGGAGGAACACCGGUGGCGAAGGCGGCAUCCUGGACCGGCAUUGACGCUGAGGCGCGAAAGCUAGGGGAGCAACGGG